rnacentral:rRNA from 1 species
UGUUGGCGAUAGACAGUCAGCGGCCAAGGGAAACCGAUAAGUGAGCCACCUGGGGAGUACGUCCGCAAGGUUGAAACUCAAAGGAAUUGACGGGGGCCCGCACAAGCGGUGGAACAUGUGGUUUAAUUCGAUGAUACGCGAGGAACCUUACCUGGGCUUAAAUGUGAAGUGCAUUGAUUGGAAACAAUCAUUUCCUUCGGGACCCUUUACAAGGUGCUGCAUGGUUGUCGUCAGCUCGUGCCGUGAGGUGUCGGGUUAAGUCCCAUAACGAGCGCAACCCCUAUUGUUAGUUACCAGCGCGUGAUGGCGGGGACUCUAGCGAAACUGCCGGUGUAAACCGCGAGGAAGGUGGGGAUGACGUCAAAUCAGCACGGCCCUUAUGUCCAGGGCUACACACGUGUUACAAUGGCCGGUACAGCGGGCAGCUAGGCAGCGAUGUCAUGCUAAUCCCGAAAGCCGGUCCCAGUUCGGAUUGGAGUCUGCAACCCGACUCCAUGAAGGUGGAAUCGCUAGUAAUCGCGCAUCAGCCAUGGCGCGGUGAUACGUUCCCGGGCCUGUACACACCGCCCGUCAAGCCAUGGAAUCUGGGUGCCUAAGCCGUAACCGCAAGGAGCGUCUAGG